rnacentral:rRNA from 1 species
GAUGAACGCUGGCGGCGUGCCUAAUACAUGCAAGUCGAGCGAAUGGAUUAAGAGCUUGCUCUUAUGAAGUUAGCGGCGGACGGGUGAGUAACACGUGGGUAACCUGCCCAUAAGACUGGGAUAACUCCGGGAAACAGGGGCUAAUACCGGAUAACAUUUUGAACCGCAUGGUUCGAAAUUGAAAGGUGGCUUCGGCUGUCACUUAUGGAUGGACCCGCGUCGCAUUAGCUAGUUGGUGAGGUAACGGCUCACCAAGGCAACGAUUCGUAGCCGACCUGAGAGGGUGAUCGGCCACACUGGGACUGAGACACGGCCCAGACUCCUACGGGAGGCAGCAGUAGGGAAUCUUCCGCAAUGGACGAAAGUCUGACGGAGCAACGCCGCGUGAGUGAUGAAGGCUUUCGGGUCGUAAAACUCUGUUGUUAGGGAAGAACAAGUGCUAGUUGAAUAAGCUGGCACCUUGACGGUACCUAACCAGAAAGCCACGGCUAACUACGUGCCAGCAGCCGCCGUAA